rnacentral:rRNA from 1 species
UACCGAGGGUGCGAGCGUUAAUCGGAAUUACUGGGCGUAAAGCGUGCGCAGGCGGCUUUGCAAGACAGAUGUGAAAUCCCCGGGCUUAACCUGGGAACUGCAUUUGUGACUGCAUGGCUGGAGUGCGGCAGAGGGGGAUGGAAUUCCGCGUGUAGCAGUGAAAUGCGUAGAUAUGCGGAGGAACACCGAUGGCGAAGGCAAUCCCCUGGGCCUGCACUGACGCUCAUGCACGAAAGCGUGGGGAGCAAACAGG